rnacentral:rRNA from 1 species
GAUGAACGCUAGCUACAGGCUUAACACAUGCAAGUCGAGGGGAAACGACAUUGGAAGCUUGCUUCCGAUGGGCGUCGACCGGCGCACGGGUGAGUAACGCGUAUCCAACCUGCCCACCACUUGGAGAUAACCUUGCGAAAGUAAGACUAAUACCCAAUGACGUCUCUAGAAGACAUCUGAAAGAGAUUAAAGAUUUAUCGGUGAUGGAUGGGAUGCGUCUGAUUAGCUUGUUGGCGGGGUAACGGCCCACCAAGGCGACGAUCAGUAGGGGUUCUGAGAGGAAGGUCCCCCCACAUUGGAACUGAGACACGGUCCAAACUCCUACGGGAGGCAGCAGUGAGGAAUAUUGGUCAAUGGGCGAGAGCCUGACCAGCCAAGUAGCGUGCAGGAUGACGGCCCUAUGGGUUGUAACUGCUUUAUAAGGGAAUAAAGUGAGCCUCGUGAGGC